GUGAAAUAUACCCCCUAUACUGUAUUGUACCAUCCUCCUCAUCUCUCUCUUUUAUAUCCCUUUUUUAAUUAUUUUCUAAUCAUUUUUAUUUACAUGUAAUUAUUUAUUGUAGGCCUAAUCUAGUUCCUAAUCAGUUUGGUGCUCAGCAGUAUUUAACUAACACAGCCAUUAAUACUGGUUUUUUUCUACAUCAAGCUUAUCAAUCCUUCCUAUAUAUGCUGCACGGUUUGCUCUGAAUCAAACAUUUUUAGAUUUAAUGCCUCGUCAACGAUACCAUCAUGUUGUGUAAAGAUUGUCCUUCAAAGAUGGCUACCGCUUGGCAAGUUGGUGUUCAUUAUGAAAUACAGUGUUCUCUUGAUCCCACUGCUCUUAUGACUGAUGGCUCUAGCCCUAUAUUCUAUGAUAUAUGUAUCCUAAGAACUCAACUAGUUUUAUGGCUUCACUCUAGAGGGUGUAUACAUUGAAUUAAUUAUAAUAUGUUGCAUAAGAUGUCAAAGAUGGUAAUAUGUUGGUGCCCAUUCCAGUCUUAAUCAGUGGUUAUAGGAACAAUAAUGGUGUCCUUGUUAAUGAAGGUGAUGAUAGCUCUCAGUGGCAGUUUGUGAGACGUUUCUAUACCCACCAGUCAGUCACUGGAUCUCUAUCAUAUCUUGAAUACACUGAAAUCAAUAUACAGUUAACCAGUCAUGGUCACAUUCAGUCUCCAUAUCUUAGACUGUCCUAUCAGGCUAUACCUACCAAUGAUGCACAAGUUAGCUCACU